AUUGAACGCUGGCGGCAGGCCUAACACAUGCAAGUCGAACGAGUGGCGGACGGGUGAGUAAUGUCUGGGAAACUGCCCGAUGGAGGGGGAUAACUACUGGAAACGGUAGCUAAUACCGCAUACCAUCGGAUGUGCCCAGAUGGGAUUAGCUAGUAGGUGGGGUAACGGCUCACCUAGGCGACGAUCCCUAGCUGGUCUGGGAGGCUGACCAGCCACCCUGGAACUGAGACACGGUCCAGACUCCUACGGGAGGCAGCAGUGGGGAAUAUUGCACAAUGAGCGCAAGCCUGAUGCAGCCAUGCCGCGUGUAUGAAGAAGGCCUUCGGGUUGUAAGGUACUUUCAGCGGGGAGGCGUUACCCGCAGAAGAAGCACCGGCUAACUCCGUGCCAGCAGCCGCGGUAAUUC
rnacentral:rRNA from 1 species